rnacentral:rRNA from 1 species
UUGGGUGCUAAGAGAAUGGAUGAAUGUAUAUAAAUUGUUUUUUUUUAAAAAUUAAAAAUUAAUUUAAAAAUGAAAAAGUUUUUAUGUAUUAAUGGGACAAGAAGACCCUAUGAAUCUUAAUUAUUUUUAAAAUUAAAAAUUAUUUUAAUAUAAUUUAAUUGGGGCGAUUGAAAAAGAAUAUUUAUCUUUAUUUUGAAUUUAUUUUUUAAAUAUAGGAAAAGAUACUCUAGGGAUAACAGCGUUAUUAUUUUGGAUAGUCCAUAUUGAUAAAAUAGUUUGCGACCUCGAUGUUGAAUUAAUGAACCUUUUAAAUGAAGUUAUUUAGAAAGGUAG